AACGAACGCUGGCGGCAUGCCUAACACAUGCAAGUCGAACGAGACCUUCGGGUCUAGUGGCGCACGGGUGCGUAACGCGUGGGAACCUGCCCUUAGGUUCGGAAUAACUCCCCGAAAGGGGUGCUAAUACCGGAUAAUGUCUUCGGACCAAAGAUUUAUCGCCUUUGGAUGGGCCCGCGUUGGAUUAGCUAGUUGGUAAGGUAAAAGCCUACCAAGGCGACGAUCCAUAGCUGGUCUGAGAGGAUGAUCAGCCACACUGGGACUGAGACACGGCCCAGACUCCUACGGGAGGCAGCAGUGGGGAAUAUUGGACAAUGGGCGAAAGCCUGAUCCAGCAAUGCCGCGUGAGUGAUGAAGGCCUUAGGGUUGUAAAGCUCUUUUACCCGGGAUGAUAAUGACAGUACCGGGAGAAUAGGCUCCGGCUAACUCCGUG
rnacentral:rRNA from 1 species